UUCAUCAUUGUGUUUAGUUUAACAUUCUGUUUGCAAUUCUCAAAACCAUAAAUUUAUCCUUUUUUUUUUUUUUGGUUAGGAUUUAACAGGUGUUAUUUCAUGAUUGAUUUCAGUACUUGGGUUGUGUUUAUUAUGGGAUUGUAAUUUGUAACUAGUGUUGAUGAUUGAUACCCAAAAUGGGUUUAGUUUCCAUUUUCCAUUUAAUGUGAUCUUGCAUUUGAUCAGUGCUUUCUAAAUUUUACAGUUUUUAUUCUUGGAUGGUUUGAUGAUUGAGGGGUGAUUUGAUAGAAUGAAGAAAGUGGUUUAGUAGUUUAGGACAGUUUGAUGAUAUUCCACAGUUAUUGAUGUGGUGGUAGUUAAUCUGGAAAAUAAAGUGUGACAGCAUUCAAACUAAAUGGGGUUGUACACUUAUAAAGUAGAAUACAUAGAAUGGAUGUAUUGUCCUUUGAACCCAUGUUACUCAUUCCGUGAUCUCACUUCAGGGGAGUGAUUUGGGUUCAAUAGUGAUACUGGUGUGGAUUGAUGAUAUGGUUAUUAUGGUUGAAUUUUUGAACUAUUAUUUGGAUAUAAGCCGUACACGAGUAGAAUCGGUUUGAGGCUUCUGAAAUUUUGUCUCUUUGGCAUUAAUUUGACGGCUGUUUUGUGUUAUUCGUUAUAUUAAAAUCCUUCAAAUGUUACUUUUCCCAAGAAAAUGCCCUCAACAUUCUCAAUGAUUCUUUGAUUUGUCAAUGAAAUUCUCUAUUAGAAACGUAUGUGUCCAUAAAAAAUAAUAUAUAUAUUUAUAUAAUAAAAUAAAAAAAAAGAAGGAAAGGGAAAAAAAUGCUAUUCUAUUUUUAACCAUUUGAUUGCUUUUUAGAACUCAACAACGGCACAAGAUCCACCAAGCUAUGGUUGGCUACAUGAAUGUUGUUUUAGUCAUGAUGCUUUACUUGAGGCCAUAUUCUGUUGUGUGUUAAAUGAUAAGAUGUUAUGUUUCUUCAUCAUUCAAUCAACAUGUUUGCGUCUUCCUCUUGUUCGAAUUUUACUAUCCACCUGAAAUUUAUGAAUCACUUGCUUCUAUUUAUGAUAUAUCCAAGACAAUUGGAAUGAUGGUUUUUAUGCAUUUCACAGCAUAUUGUUUUGCACUUUUUCUUCAUUUCUAUAUAUAGCAUUAGCGGAUUCCAUGUUUUUUGUCUGUGUCCUGCAAACCUUAAAACUAGGUUUUAUACCUUGAGGUGGAAAUCUAUGCUUUACAAUACUUGAUGCCUUUUGUUUUAUUUAUUGAUGGUUAGAAUAUGCUACAUAUUUGGCUAUUUCUAAAACAAUGUUUGCAUGAGUUUCUUAUUGUUAAGGGUUCAUGUUCACUGUCUGUAUAUCAUAGAACUUUUAUUAGCUCCUGAUUAUUUGCUUGUUUAUGAAAAUAUGUUUAAAUGGUAUGGCAUGUCUUGUCUAUGGAUUCUAUUAAUCGAUGAUAAAUGAUUUGUGUUGAUGACUUUAGCUAGCUAUAUUGUCUAACAAAUAGUAAAUCCCUAUCAAUCAAUAGUAAUAAUCAUAUUAUUAUCAUUUAUCAAUGAUAUGUAUUGAUUCAUGUAGUUAUACCUUCUCCGUUUAAUAGGUUUCUCUUUAAUGAAUAUAGUCUAAGCUUACAUGCUCUCAAGAGGAUUUAUGUGGUUUAUACAAGGCAUAUAAUGAGGACCUUACUGGCAACUGUACUAUUGUGCAUAGAAUGACUGUUUUCUUGAGGGAGAAUGAAGGUGGUUGCCAAGGAUGGGUGUUACUCUUUUGCAGUUUACACUAGGUGCCGCAACCCAUAUUUGAAAUGGAAAAUGGGCAGAAUUUGAAUGCUUUUGGGAAAAGAAAAUAGUUUUCUGAUGGAGCCUCUUGAUCAAAGAGAACAUGUGCAAAGCAAUAACGAUAUUAUGUCGCGUCGCUUAAAGAACCGAGAGCGACAACGUAGAUACAGGGCUCGAAAGCGCCUUGAAGCUGAUAUGAAGAAUGCAAAUACCACAAACAACUCAACUCCACUGCAAGUAGAGGUGCAAGUAAGUGGGAUUCCCGACAAUUAUGUGAUGAGAAUUCAUUGUCAACGAGAUUGGAAAAAAGACUCAAGAAUGGCCGCCCAUGCAGCGAAGAAACAAAAAGUUAUAUCAAACUGUGCUGCUAUUGCUGGUUUGACCUCAGCCAAUGAAAGUCAAUCAACCUUGUUUCCCACAGGUGCUGAAGCAAUGCCACCAAUAGAAAGUGAAUUUCAUUCAACAUUGAAUUCUCAUGAGCAGAAUAAUAUUGAAAGAAGUGUUACACCUGCCCGAAGACAUUGGAAAGCAGAUGCAAGAAAAAGAAAAACCGAAUUUUAGAGAUCAAUGUUUAGAGAUAUUAAUCAAGUGCCGGCAGCUAGCAGCGACUGACUAAUUCUCAGUAGGAAGAUGUCUAAAAUAGCAAUGGCUGCAUAGCUUAUGAUGUUGUGAUGUGUUUGUCACAAGGAGCAAAGCACCAGAGGAUAAUAGCAGCACCCGUGGUUAGAGAAGUCAGGUCAGUGGUGAGGAACAAUUUAAAGAUAAUAUGUUAAUGUAAUGCCUUGAUGCGAGGAUAGGAUUAUUGUCCUUGUAUGCAUGUCUAAAAGGGCUUAAUGAUUGCUCCUAAACCUUUUCCAGAAGCAAUGCAUUUUUGUCAUGUUUCCCAAACUGAUUCUACUGGGCAUGCUUGUAUGUGUAUAGAUUUGUUGAAAAUCAAAUUUUGAUCAUUGGACUAA